UAGGGAAUAUUGGUAAUCUGGGAAACCGGGAACCAGCAACGCCGCGUGCACGAUGAAGGCCUUCGGGUCGUAAAGUGCUUUUUGAAGGGAUGAGGAAGGACAGUACCUUCAGAAUAAGCCUCGGCUAACUACGUGCCAGCAGCCGCGGUACAACGUUGGAGGCGAGCGUUAUCCGGAUUUACUGGGCGUAAAGCGUGUGUAGGCGGUUUGAUAAGUUGGAUGUGAAAGCUCCCGGCUCAACUGGGAGAGGUCGUUCAAAACUAUCAGACUAGAGAGUGGUAGAGGGAGGUGGAAUUCCGCGUGUAGUGGUGAAAUGCGUAGAUAUGCGGAGGAACACCAGUGGCGAAAGCGGCCUCCUGGCCAAUUUCUGACGCUCAGACACGAAAGCUAGGGUAGCAAACGG
rnacentral:rRNA from 1 species